GUGGGGAAUCUUGCACAAUGGGGGAAACCCUGAUGCAGCGACGCCGCGUGAGCGAUGAAGCCCUUCGGGGUGUAAAGCUCUUUCGGCAGGAACGAUAAUGACGGUACCUGAAGAAGAAGCUGCGGCUAACUACGUGCCAGCAGCCGCGGUAAUACGUAGGCAGCGAGCGUUGUUCGGAGUUACUGGGCGUAAAGAGUGCGUAGGCGGUCCUUUAAGUUCGGUGUGAAAUCUCCCGGCUCAACCGGGAGGGUGCGCCGAAAACUGGAGGGCUUGAGUGCGGGAGAGGAGAGCGGAAUUCCUGGUGUAGCGGUGAAAUGCGUAGAUAUCAGGAGGAACACCUGUGGUGCAGACGGCUCUCUGGACCGCAACUGACGCUGAGGCACGAAAGCGUGGGUAGCAAACAGGAUUAGAAACCCUAGUAGUCC
rnacentral:rRNA from 1 species